GCCCCAGGAUAUUUACAUCAGGACAGGUAACAUAUGCAUCGGAAAGUAAGUAUAUUUUUUUUUAUUUAUUAAUAGUUGUCUAAUAGAUAUUAAAAUAAUUUGAAUAUGUAUUACAGAUAGACGGGAGCCAACAGAGAAGAAGAAGACAGUACAGUCCUAGACAUGGAGAUGAUUAAAUUGUAGAUGCCAAGAUGAUGAUAUACCAGCCCCAGGAUAUUUACGUCAGGACAGGUAACAUAUGCAUCGGAAAGUAAGUAUAUUUUUUUUAUUUAUUAAUAGUUGUCUAAUAGAUAUUAAAAUAAUUUGAAUAUGUAUUACAGAUAGACGGGAGCCAACAGAGAAGAAGAAGACAGUACAGUCCUAGACAUAGAGAUGAUUAAAUUGUAGAUGCCAAGAUGAUGAUAUUCCAGGAGCAGGUAAUUUACAUCAUACCAGGCUGUCCCGUGGACAUGUUUAUAUUACAGACGGAUGAAGCCCAGAGGAACAUUACAGACGGAUGGAGCCCAGAGGAACAUACAGUCCUAGACCUGAAGUUGCCAGAUAAUGAUGAUGAAGGUUAUUACAGCAACUGUUUUCAUGGAUGGGGAGUAAAACUGGGUGGUCUAAUACUUUUCAUAAAUUAACAAAAUAACAACAUGACUGGUGGAUUCAAUUCUAGGUACCAGUGAAGAAAUUAAAAGUGAAGACUUGCGACGGAAAAUCCAGGAAACAGGUCUUUUACUGAACAGUAUGAGAGAGCCAAGAUGAUUGUUGGAUUUAAACUGCUUGGAAAAUACCACCAAAUGAAGACAAAAAAUGCACUGCAUCAACAAACAAAUCAUCUACUGGAAUGUCAGGGCAUCAGUACCUAGUUCUGAUUCUAAAAACAAUUGUUCAAAAUAAAUGGAGAAUGUGACACAGAUGAUGACCCUGCUUGCAUAUAACAUUAUAAAGGGACAAACAGUAAAAUUGAUGCCAUUUAAAUUCAAAGCUGAACAGUGUUUUGUGAUUCCAGGAGCAGGUAAUUUACAUCAUACCAGGCUGUCCCGUGGACAUGUUUAUAUUACAGACGGAUGAAGCCCAGAGGAACAUUACAGGCGGUUGGAGCCCAGAGGAACAUACAGUCCUAGACCUGAAGUUGCUAGAUAAUGAUGAUGAAGGUUAUUACAGCAACUGUUUUCAUGGAUGGGGAGUAAAACUGGGUGGUCUAAUACUUUUCAUAAAUUAACAAAAUAACAACACGACUGGUGGAUUCAAUUCUAGGAACCAGUGAAGAAAUUAAAAGUGAAGACUUGCGACGGAAAAUCCAGGAAACAGGUCUUUUACUGAACAGUAUGAGAGAGCCAAGAUGAUUGUUGGAUUUAAACUGCUUGGAAAAUACCACCAAAUGAAGACAAAAAAUGCACUGCAUCAACAAACAAAUCAACUACUGGAAUGUCAGGGCAUCAGUACCUAGUUCUGAUUCUAAAAACAAUUGUUCAAAAUAAAUGGAGAAUGUGACACAGAUGAUGACCCUGCUUGCAUAUAACAUUAUAAAGGGACAAACAGUAAAAUUGAUGCCAUUUAAAUUCAAAGCUGAACAGUGUUUUGUGAUGAAGAUUUGGAUCCUUUUGGCUUGAAAGAUUGUCAGGAACAUGAAGAAACUGAAUCCAUUAUGAACAUAUGUACACAAACAGACAAAAUAACAACAACACUGGUUGAUACAAUUCUAGGAACUGGUGAAGAAGUUAAGUUUUACAAAAUACAGAAGACUUGCAACGGAAAAUCCCGGAAUGAGGUCUUUUACUGAACAGUAUGAGAGAGUCAAGAUGAAUGUUGGAUUUAAACUGCUUGAAAAAUACAACCAAAUGAAGACAAAAAAUGCAUCAACAAACAAAUCAACUAAUGGAACGUUGGGGCAUCAGUACCUAGUUCUGACUCUAAAAGCAAUUGUUCAAAAUAAAUGGAGAAUGUGACACAGAUGAUGACCCUGCUUGCAUAUAUUAACAUUAUAAAGGGACAAACAGUUAAUUGAUGCAGUUUAAAUUCAAAGCUGAACAGUGUUUUGUGAUGAAAAUAUGAAUCCUUUUGGCUUGAAAGAUUGUCAGGAACAUGAAGAAACUGAAUCCAUUAUAAACAUAUCUACAUAAACAGAUGAAGAUUUGGAUCCUUUUGGCUUGAAAGAUUGUCAGGAACAUGAAGAAACUGAAUCCAUUAUAAACAUAUGUGCACAAACAGACAAAAUAACAUCAACACUGGUUGAUACAAUUCUAGGAACCGGCGAAGAAGUUAAAAGUUUUACAAAAUACAGAAGACUUGCAACGGAAAAUCCAGGAAACAGGUCUUUUACUGAACAGUAUGAGAGAGCCAAGAUGAUUGUUGGAUUUAAACCGCUUGGAAAAUACAACCAAAUGAAGACAAAAAAUGCAUCAACAAACAAAACAACUAAUGGAACGUUGGGGCAUCAGUACCUAGUUCUGAUUCUAAAAACAUUGUUCAAAAUCUUCUACAAGGUUUAGAAGACUGUACAUACAUGUAUAUAUUUAUAUUUAUAUUUAUAUAAGAAAGGGAAAAAAAAAAAAAAAAAAUAA